rnacentral:rRNA from 1 species
CACCCGAGACUCAGUGAAAUUGAACUCGCUGUGAAGAUGCAGUGUACCCGCGGCAAGACGGAAAGACCCCGUGAACCUUUACUAUAGCUUGACACUGAACAUUGAGCCUUGAUGUGUAGGAUAGGUGGGAGGCUUAGAAGUGUGGACGCCAGUCUGCAUGGAGCCGACCUUGAAAUACCACCCUUUAAUGUUUGAUGUUCUAACGUUGACCCGUAAUCCGGGUUGCGGACAGUGUCUGGUGGGUAGUUUGACUGGGGCGGUCUCCUCCUAAAGAGUAACGGAGGAGCACGAAGGUUGGCUAAUCCUGGUCGGACAUCAGGAGGUUAGUGCAAUGGCAUAAGCCAGCUUGACUGCGAGCGUGACGGCGCGAGCAGGUGCGAAAGCAGGUCAUAGUGAUCCGGUGGUUCUGAAUGGAAGGGCCAUCGCUCAACGGAUAAAAGGUACUCCGGGGAUAACAGGCUGAUACCGCCCAAGAGUUCAUAUCGACGGCGGUGUUUGGCACCUCGAUGUCGGCUCAUCACAUCCUGGGGCUGAAGUAGGUCCCAAGGGUAUGGCUGUUCGCCAUUUAAAGUGGUACGCGAGCUGGGUUUAGAACGUCGUGAGACAGUUCGGUCCCUAUCUGCCGUGGGCGCUGGAGAACUGAGGGGGGCUGCUCCUAGUACGAGAGGACCGGAGUGGACGCAUCACUGGUGUUCGGGUUGUCAUGCCAAUGGCACUGCCCGGUAGCUAAAUGCGGAAGAGAUAAGUGCUGAAAGCAUCUAAGCACGAAACUUGCCCCGAGAUGAGUUCUCCCUGACUCCUUGAGAGUCCUGAAGGAACGUUGAAGACGACGACGUUGAUAGGCCGGGUGUGUAAGCGCAGCGAUGCGUUGAGCUAACCGGUACUAAUGAACCGUGAGG